rnacentral:rRNA from 1 species
GUAGAUCUCCCACCCUUGAAAUUAUACUUUCGUUGCUUUGGCAGGCCGUGUAAACACCAGAGGCUCCGGCUGAUGCGUGCCUGCCAGAGGAAACAAACUCUGUUUUUAGUGAUGUCUGAGUACUAUAUAAUAGUUAAAACUUUCAACAACGGAUCUCUUGGUUCUGGCAUCGAUGAAGAACGCAGCGAAAUGCGAUAAGUAAUGUGAAUUGCAGAAUUCAGUGAAUCAUCGAAUCUUUGAACGCACAUUGCGCCCCGUGGUAUUCCGCGGGGCAUGCCUGUUCGAGCGUCAUUUCAACCCAUCAAGCUUCGGCUUGGUCUUGGGGCCUGCGGUUUCGCAGCCUCUAAACCCAGUGGCGGUGCUAUUGAGCUCUGAGCGUAGUAAUUUCUCUCGCUAUAGAGUCUCGGUGGUGACUUGCCAACAACCCCCAAUUUUUAUCAGGUUGACCUCGGAUCAGGUAGGGAUACCCGCUGAACUUAAGCAUAUCAAUAAGCGGAGGAAAAGAAACCAACAGGGAUUACCUCAGUAACGGCGAGUGAAGCGGUAACAGCUCAAAUUUGAAAUCUGCCGCAAGGCCGAGUUGUAAUUUGUAGAAGAUGCUUUGGGUAUGGCCCCGGUCUAAGUUCGUUGGAACACGACGUCAUAGAGGGUGAGAAUCCCGUAUGUGACUGGGUGCUUUUGCCUAUGUAAAGCUCUUUCGACGAGUCGAGUUGUUUGGGAAUGCAGCUCAAAAUGGGUGGUAUAUUUCAUCUAAAGCUAAAUAUUGGCCAGAGACCGAUAGCGCACAAGUAGAGUGAUCGAAAGAUGAAAAGCACUUUGGAAAGAGAGUUAAACAGUACGUGAAAUUGUUG